UUAAAAAGCUCGUAGUUGGAUCUCGGCGGGUAGAGGGCGGUUUGCUUCGUAGCAUUACUGCCCUAUUACCCGUAGUUUUUGCCAGAGGUUCCUGGGUGCUCUUAAUCGAGUGUCUAGGGAUGCUGGCAGGUUUACUUUGAAAAAAUUAGAGUGCUCAAAGCAGGCUAUUACGCUUGAAUAUUCGUGCAUGGAAUAAUAGAAUAGGAAGUUGUUUCUAUUUUGUUGGUUUUCGGAAAUCGACUUAAUGAUUAAUAGGGACAGUCGGGGGCAUUUGUAUUCAAACGACAGAGGUGAAAUUCUUGAACCGUUUGAAGACAAACUACUGCGAAAGCAUUUGCCAAGAAUGUUUUCAUUAAUCAAGAACGAAAGUUAGAGGUUCGAAGGCGAUUAGAUACCGCCCUAGUUCUAACCAUAAACGAUGCCAGCUAGCGAUCUGAGGACGUUUUUUUUGUAGACUCCUCAGGAAGCUUCCGGGAAACCAAAGCGUGUGGGUUCCGGGGGAAGUAUGGUUGCAAAGCUGAAACUUAAAGGAAUUGACGGAAGGGCACCACCAGGAGUGGAGCCUGCGGCUUAAUUUGACUCAACACGGGAAAUCUCACCAGGCCCGGACACUGGAAGGAUUGACAGAUUGAGAGCUCUUUCUCGAUUCGGUGGGUGGUGGUGCAUGGCCGUUCUUAGUUGGUGGAGUGAUUUGUCUGGUUAAUUCCGAUAACGAACGAGACUCUGUCCUGCUAAAUAGUGUCGGCCUCUCUUUUGGGCCGACAAUUCUUCUUAGAGGGACUGGCAGCUCCUAGCUGCACGAGAUAGAGCAAUAACAGGUCUGUGAUGCCCUUAGAUGUUCUGGGCAGCACGCGCGCUACACUGAAUAGAUCAGCGUGUUCUCCCUUUCUGAGAAGAACGGGUAAACCGCUGAACCCUAUUCGUGGUAGGGAUCGGGGCUUGCAAUUAUUCCCCGUGAACCAGGAAUUCCCA
rnacentral:rRNA from 1 species